rnacentral:rRNA from 1 species
GAUGAACGCUGGCGGCGUGCCUAAUACAUGCAAGUCGAGCGAACAGACGAGGAGCUUGCUCCUUUGACGUUAGCGGCGGACGGGUGAGUAACACGUGGAUAACCUACCUAUAAGACUGGGAUAACUUCGGGAAACCGGAUCUAAUACCGGAUAAUAUAUUGAACCGCAUGGUUGAAUAGUGAAAGACGGUUUUGCUGUCACUUAUAGAUGGAUCCCCGCCGCAUUAGCUAGUUGGUAAGGUAACGGCUUACGAAGGCAACGAUGCGUAGCCGACCUGCGAGGGUGAUCGGCCACACUGGAACUGAGACACGGACCAGACUCCUACGGGAGGCAGCAGUAGGGAAUCUUCCGCAAUAGGCGAAAACCUGACGGAGCAACGCCGCGUGAGUGAUGAAGGUCUUCGGAUCGUAAAACUCUGUUAUUAGGUAAGAACAAAUGUGUAAGUAACUAUGCACGUCUUGACGGUACCUAAUCAGAAAGCCACGGCUAACUACGUG